rnacentral:rRNA from 1 species
UACAGAGGGUGCGAGCGUUAAUCGGAAUCACUGGGCUUAAAGCGUUCGUAGGCGGGUCUGCAGGCGCGUUGUGAAAGCCCCCGGCUCAACCGGGGAACUGCUUCGCGAGCCGCAGAUCUUGAGUCAAGUAGGGGCGAUCGGAACGAUAGGUGGAGCGGUGAAAUGCGUAGAUAUCUAUCGGAACGCCGAAGGUGAAGACAGGUCGCUGGGCUUGUACUGACGCUGGAGGAACGAAAGCGUGGGGAGCAAACGGG